UACGGGGGGGGCAAGCGUUGUUCGGAAUUACUGGGCGUAAAGGGCUCGUAGGCGGCCAACUAAGUCGGAUGUGAAAUCCCCAGGCUCAACCUGGGAACUGCAUCCGAUACUGGAUGGCUUGAAUUCGGGAGAGGGAUGCAGAAUUCCAGGUGUAGCGGUGAAAUGCGUAGAUAUCUGGAGGAACACCGGUGGCGAAGGCGACAUCCUGGACCGGUAUUGACGCUGAGGCGCGAAAGCCAGGGGAGCAAACGGG
rnacentral:rRNA from 1 species